rnacentral:lncRNA from 1 species
UGCAACAGCCCUUGUCUCCCUCCGCCCUUGGUUCCUUCUCACCCAUCUCACCACCAUCUGCCCAGGGGAGCCACAUGUCCCAAAUUUUGGAGAGAAAAUAAUUGAGGCUCAUUUCCAGGACAGAGGGGCAAGCUGGGUCUAAAGAGCCAAGCAGAAAGGCUUCCCAAAAUCGCUAGGUUGGGAGGGGUCAGAGACGUGUGGCUGCCCCAGCUGUUCUGACUCUGCCCCAGCUUUUGGCUCCACCCCCUUAAAGCACCUUCAGAGGUUCCCAUGGCGACAGUAAACAAGUCUCCACUGCCUUGGCCAUGUGCUGUGUUCACCCCACUCCUGAUCUUGUUGGCUGCUCAGGGGCUGACAGCCCAGAUGUGCAGCUGUGAUGAGCAGAAACAGGGAGGAAUGGAGCCCCCAGUAAGUCAUGUAUCCGUUAAAAGAAUAUCUGGAAACCUCCAAAAGGAAGCCAAGCAUAGACUAUUUGGAAGAACUUGAAGGAGCGAGAGCUGACCCCAUCUUUGUACACUGGCAGCACAAGGACAACAAUCAACACGGAAGACUUCUGUGACCAAAUGUGUGCACGUUUCUCUCCAUACACCAAGCAAGCAAUCUAUUCUGCAGCAGACACCAACUGGAAGUCCUCCAAUUCAAUUCAAUUCUGACACUGUCUACCUGGAAAUGGCCUCAGCAACCACAGGUUGAGAGCUCAGUCCCACAAGAACACCUCCUCCUUCCAACCAGUUGAAACUCCACACCUCCAGAACUUCUCACUGACUGGCUUCGAGUUGAGGUUUCCACAGUCCUCUGUUUGAGUUUGAUUAAUUUGCUAGAGAAGUUCACAGAACACAAGGAAACACUUACUUAUGUUGAUCAAUUUAUCACAAAGGAUGUUUUAAAGGAUCCAAAUGGGGGCCAGGCACAGUGGCUCAUGCCUGUAAUCCCAGCACUUUGGGAGGCUGAGGCAGGCGGAUCAUGA